UGGGGACACGAGAGACGGAUGCUGUGGACUUGUGUUCAGACUGCGUGAACGGAGAGUGUCGUCUUCGUCGUGCGUGGAAUUGUCCUGAGCGCCGGCUGCUGAUUGGCCGUCCUCCUGCAGUGUCCGUUCUCCGCGCCUCUGUGUCCCGCGUGAACAGCAGCCGUGGUCGCCUCCGUCCUCCAGCUUGAACCCUGUGUCCUGCACCACCCGUCCGCCACUGCCCCAGAAUUCCUCUCCUCCCCACAGUCGUCGUUGGUCUUGGAGUGACACAGUAUCAGAGACCUGGAGUCAGAAAAGUUUGUUUGUUUUUCAGAUUUUUUUUUGCUAUUUAGCGAACAGCACUUUGAAAACGUGGCUGCUUCCUGUUUCUGAACAGCCACUUCCUGUCAUCGCCAUCAUCGUAUCCAGCAAAUAAGAUUGAGUGUCCUGGAGAUAUUUGACCUCUACACUGAGGACACAUUAGC